rnacentral:rRNA from 1 species
UUUAUUGGAGAGUUUGAUCCUGGCUCAGGACGAACGCUGGCGGCGUGCUUAACACAUGCAAGUCGAACGAGACGAUUUUAAGCUUGCUUAGAUGAGUCGAGUGGCAAACGGGUGCGUAACGCGUCGACAACCUGCCGCAAAGAUGGGGAAACAGUCCGAAAGGACUGCUAAUACCGAAUGUUGUAUUGUUUCCGCAUGGAGACGAUAUCAAAGAUGGCCUCUACUUGUAAGCUAUCGCUUUGUGAUGGGUCUGCGUCUGAUUAGCUAGUUGGUGGGGUAACGGCCUACCAAGGCGACGAUCAGUAGCCGGUCUGAGAGGAUGAACGGCCACAUUGGAACUGAGACACGGUCCAGACUCCUACGGGAGGCAGCAGUGGGGAAUC